AUUGAACGCUGGCGGCAGGCCUAACACAUGCAAGUCGAGCGGAUGAAGGGAGCUUGCUCCUGGAUUCAGCGGCGGACGGGUGAGUAAUGCCUAGGAAUCUGCCUGGUAGUGGGGGAUAACGUCCGGAAACGGGCGCUAAUACCGCAUACGUCCUGAGGGAGAAAGUGGGGGAUCUUCGGACCUCACGCUCUCAGCUGAGCCUAGGUCGGAUUAGCUAGUUGGUGGGGUAAAGGCCUACCAAGGCGACGAUCCGUAACUGGUCUGAGAGGAUGAUCAGUCACACUGGAACUGAGACACGGUCCAGACUCCUACGGGAGGCAGCAGUGGGGAAUAUUGGACAAUGGGCGAAAGCCUGAUCCAGCCAUGCCGCGUGUGUGAAGAAGGUCUUCGGAUUGUAAAGCACUUUAAGUUGGGAGGAAGGGCAGUAAGUUAAUACCUAGCUGUUUUGACGUUACCAACAGAAUAAGCACCGGCUAACUACGUG
rnacentral:rRNA from 1 species